UACGAAGGGGGCUAGCGUUGUUCGGAAUUACUGGGCGUAAAGCGCACGUAGGCGGAUCAUUUAGUCAGGGGUGAAAUCCCGGGGCUCAACCUCGGAACUGCCUUUGAUACUGAUGGUCUCGAGUCCGAUAGAGGUGAGUGGAAUUCCUAGUGUAGAGGUGAAAUUCGUAGAUAUUAGGAAGAACACCAGUGGCGAAGGCGGCUCACUGGAUCGGUACUGACGCUGAGGUGCGAAAGCAUGGGGAGCGAACAGG
rnacentral:rRNA from 1 species